AUUUUGCUGGUCACACUUAUAUUUUUGUCAUUUUUAUUUUUUUAUGUUUUUGAGCAGCAUUUCUCUAUUUAACAGCCCUGACUUUCCUGGAACUUACUCUGUAAACCAGGCUGACUUCAAACUCAAGAGAUCCACCUGCCUCUACUGGGAUUAAAGUCGUGUGCCACCGUCACCUGGCUCCCAAUUUAUACCCUUAAAGUGUAAUAUCUCCAAAUCCUGGAACAGGAAUGUUAUAGCUCUACUGACUUCUAGCUAUUUGUCUUCCUAGAAGGUAACAUAACAUUUUAACCUUUUCAAAUAAGGAAGCUGCUAGCUCUGAGCCAGGCUGGCAUCUAAUCUGUCUAUAAACAAUAGAACAGUCACUUUAUCUUAACAUUAUUGGUCAGUAUUAUUUGAUCAGUAUAGGUAAAUGAAAAUCCCGUCAUAAUCUUCCUGCCAGGAUGCUGUUAAUCUUAACUACCAACUCCCAAGAUUUUGUUCCUGCUUUUGUGAGACGGUCUCACUGGGGUCCAAGCUGGCCUGGAACUUGGAGCGAUUCACUGGUGUCACCAUUUGCAGUGUUGAGAUUAAAGCUGUUGAGCCACCGUGCCCGACAAGGGUUUUGUUGUUAAUGUUAAUGGGUGUUCAGCCUACAUAUCUGUAUGUCUAUGUACCACUUGCAUACCUGGUCCCCAUGGCGGCCACAAGAGGGCAUCAGGUUCCCUGGGACUAGAAUUAGAGUUGGGAGCUGCUGUGUGGAUGCUGGAGAUUGACCCUGGAUUCCUUGGAAGAGCAGCUUGUGCUCCCAACAGGUCAGCCAUCUUUUCAAUCCCUGGGUUUUGUGGUUUUGAGACAGUCUCAUUAUGUAGCUCUGGCUAUCCUUCUGUGUAGACCAGGUUAGCCUCAGUAUUAGAAAAAAUCCACCUGCCUCUGCCACUUGAGUGUUGGGAUUAAAGGCACGUGCCUUUAAUUAUGAGAUUGCCUUUUUAGGAAAGAAUCUAAACAGUCAAAUGACAUAAAUCUCCGGACGUUUUGUCCCCUUUUGUGAGCUAGGAGAUUUAAGCGCAGAGUUCUGCUGAAGCUGUGAUUCCUCAGGCUGGGACCUGACAUGUACAGGCUGAAGUGUGCAUGUAUGUUCUUUAUUGUCAUGGGAUUAGUAGGGAAGUCGGCACAAUGAUGGUUUCAUUUCUCCUCAGAGAAAAGUUGGAAUACUCUGGAAAGGCCCUUUGUAGGUAGUUUCAUUCAAGUUCUGGCCUUUUACAGAGGAGAACUUUUACAGAGUUUCCUAGGCAAGACCUUGCUUUGUGUGCACACUGCCUUCAGGUAGUGACAUUUGGAGCUGGUAAGACAACAGUUCCCGAUCCUUAGCAUCCCCUGUUCGUAGCUGCUGGUGUCUUUUAGGUCAGCAUAUACAAGCCUAGAUGAAAGGUUUCAUAGCUACUUAUCCCUUAGCCUUCACAGCUAUGCAGUGGGAGACACUAGAGAACUUUUAUUCUAAGCCUCAUUUCUAUUUUGCUGAUCCUGAUUUUACCAGUCAGUCCUAGUGUCUCCUGACUACCACCCCUCCCGAUGCUGUUAGCUGAAGAUGGACAGACUUGCAGGCUUCCUGUGAGAGCUUCCAAUGAUUUGCAGGUCAAUGUGGUGGACAGUCCUUAACACUGGGCCUCAGAGGCAGGGCUGGCUUCCAGGCGCUUGCGCAGGUGGUUGGCGAACUCUAUCUGGGUCUGCGAUAGGACCUGGUUGAUGAUUGUCUUCGGCAGCCACCCCUGGGGUAGACACAAGAGCACUGGGAUCCUGAGCACAGUUCUGUACCCCACAUAGGCAGGGGCACCUCAAGCUUGGUCUUGCUGGAUAAGGGGGCCUUAGCUGCCUUAUGGUUAAAGAUAGGAUGUGUGACCCCGAGCGAGACAUCUGUGUCACCUGAAAGGUGAGAAUCCCCAUGUACUGGGCCUAGGAUCACCUUUGUAAAUGGUCAUGAUUAUAUAUAAAACUGAUUUUAAAAAAACU
rnacentral:lncRNA from 1 species